CUUGCGUUAUCUUUGUUCAAAAUAUGGUCCUUGAGUGUGAAUUGAUGUGUUAACCAAGAUUAGAUUAGGUUAGGUUUUUCAUGAAAGCGACAAAGUGUCGAGAGUUGCCGUAUGCGUGUCGCAAGAUGGCAAUAAAAUGUCCGUAAUGUUUGCAAGAAUUACCAUACGCGUGUCGCGAGAUGUGCUUGUAGUAUGACUUAGAAUAAAGGGGAAGGUGUGAAAAAGUGAUCAACCGUAUAGGCUCUGGGAAAAUGAUCGUGCGGAAAUAAUUCCUGCAUACUUGAUUGGUAGAAAAGUUGAACUGUUUUGCCGAAAUCAGUCACAUCACUUGAGCCUGUCUUACGAAAGGUGUUGCCGUAAUUGAAGCAGAAAGCCGCCAUUUUAUGGCUCAAACAUUUCAGCUUCCAAAGCAGCGCAUUCGGCAACUCGCAUAAACGCAUAGGAAAUACCGGACGCGCCAACAUACAGCCCACCGUUGGCUUCCGCGCGAUCAGGUGGCUCCUUGUCAACGAUACGCUGUAAAAUCUUGCGACUAAAGGAGUCAGAUUCUCGCAAGGACGUCACUUCUCCCCUAUAUAAACUAUUUUACUAACAGAACUAACCUUUCUUAUAAGUAACGCACGUAAAUGUCUUCUAUCUAAAAGAACAAACCUAAGAAAUACGAUCAAACUCGGAUGACCACGUUCAGAAGGCCAAAAUAAUAAAUCCCUAGAUACUAUAAUUUUGGACCUAAUUCAAACUAUUAAAUAUUAUUGGAUCUCGCUCUUAUAAUAACAUAAGAAGGGACUUCUCCACCAAAGAGAAUCCAUUGGAACUUACUAUUUCGGAACUAUACAGAUUCUCACUAGAACCACUCCCUUGAUGACUCAUCCUAAAUCUCCCGACAAACGACUAUUCCUCCUUCUCCAUUACCUUUCCAAAUCCUUAUGAUCCAAUAAUAAAUCUGCAAUCUAAGACGAUAUCCCAAUAUAACGAAAAGUAUAAUAGUUAUACUUUCGACAUAUCGAGACCAAGCACUCGUGGCAAUCUUGAACGACUUUGAAAUACGCUAAAGUCAUUAUAAAAUGACCUGAAAAUAUACAAAGUCGCUAGCACGCUGAGGGUCUGUUGUAAGGAACUGCAUACGUCGUUAUGUAGAUAUUAUACGACCUCGAACUUAAAAAUAUGAAUUCAGAAGCUCAAAAAUCUUUCUGGGAAGAAAGCGCUCAGAAGAGUAGAUUGCAGCCCAAACUCAAGACCAUAAUAUCUCGAAAUUCUUGAGACAAUACAUUCUCCAAUCAUACCAUACUCUACCCUUGACAAUACCCUCGCCAAUUCCUAUUCCUUAAAACGUUUCAUUAACGAGGACAACAAAUUGCAAAUACAAAUUUAUAGAUUAUAGAUAUCAUUGUAAUUUUGUUACAAGCAUUGAUUAUUAUAUUAGCAUAAUUAUUAACAUGAUUCUGAUAAUGAAUAAGCCUAAUGAAAUAUAAAAGGUCAUCCCAGAUUAAUCCAUGGUUAUUAACAUACUAUUAUUAAUUACACAAAAGGGAAUAUUGUCCUCGGAAAGAAUCUUGAAAUAAGAAUAUUCAAAAAUUAAAGAUCAUAACUCUUAUAAUAAAAUUACUAAAAUUAUAUUUCGAGACUAUUGCAAUAACAAAACUAUAAUCAUCCGCAGAAUUCAAGAUUUCCAAGGAAAUCAAGCAUCAUUGCAUGUGCAAAUAAUAAUAUAAUUAUAAGAAUUGAUCUACAUUCACCUUUUGUGUACUGUCAAUGGAUAGCACUACUAAUCAUUACUAACAAAUAUUAAAUAAUACUAUUGUUAAUCAUUAUUACAACCUUAUAUUAUCAUUCCUAUUACCAAUACGUUACCGAUUUUUAUGAACACUAUAUUACUUAUUAUAUUAUCAGUUCUUAUAUAUAUUGUCAACUUUAUAUAUUACCAAUUAUUAUAUGGUGUCGAUGAUAUAUUAUGUCGUUUUAUAUUAUUCUUAUCGAUUCGCUUAUAAUAUGCACGCCCAAUGUAAUACAACUACCAGUAACACGUACUCUAGAGAACUAUCUUAUAAACUGAUAAGGAAGGAAAGAAACUCCGUCGCGCUCGCACCUGAAUGUGUACAUAUAAAUAUGUGUAUAUCAGCAUACUGAAAAUUAACGAAUUAUUAAAUAGACCAUCUGAAAAUUUUUAUUCCCCAAAAAUGAUUUAUAAACAAAUAGGAAAUAGCCAGAAAAUUAUAACGUAAUAUCUUGAUAAAUUAAUAACUUUGACUGCAAGUAGAAUCGUAGCAUUAGAAGCCGAUGUUGUGAAGGCCUUGCCGAGAGUCACGUCUCGGGAGAUGCGACAUAUGAUAUAUGCUGGCACACUGACACAUAUAUAUAUGUAUACACAUUCCAAUCUCCGAUCACCUGAAAAUUAAAUUUAAGGCUUUUGCUUUACGCAAAGGAAUAUUGUUCUAUAAUUAAGAAAACAUUUACAUAUUUUGUUUAAUAACUUCCUUCAAACAAGAAUAUAUAUAUAUAUUUUUUUUUCCUUUUUUUUUCUUUUUUUCCUACUCCUUUUAUUUGUAAUAAUUUAACAUAUAUUUGGACGAACAUUAGAAAUUUUGACUUUAUAAAACCAAAUAUAUUAGUUCAGAAUUAUUAUGAAACCUUGUUGAGGAGAAACCGACCCCAGAUAAUAAGCAAAUCAGGUAUCAGGUGAAGUAAAUAUUCUUGUUUGAAAUAUCUCUAUCAGCUCGAGUAGAGUAAGGAUAUGUAAGCGCAAAGCUUGUAGUAAGAUUUAGAAUUGCGAAUAAACAAACAAUAGUCACUAAUACAUAGUCUUAUAAACACUGAAUAUUUACGACGACAAAUUAAACUAACCGACAAACAAUAAUUUAAAAUCAAUUUUGUAAACAGGUUAAUCAAUCGACCACUGCACAUAUUCGCUCAUGCUCUAAUACGAUCGAUCGUUUUGUUUUACUUUAUUGCUAUUCUUAUUUUAUCCUUAGCGAUAACUAGUAAACAAUAAUAAUUAUUUUAAAAUUCUUAAAUAAUUCUAUGCCAUUGCGCCACUCCACCGAUAACUAUGAUUCACUCAAGAAAACGGAAUAAUCAAAUUGAUUAACUCGAUUGAUUAACUUGCGGCCGACCUACACCGUGAGUAGCGUAUCUACCACAUGUAUGUUCAUUCACACCGAUUAUCACGCUCACUGAUGUAUUCUUGCGGCGCGUAAGGCGAUAACUCGUGGGGGCUACCCGAGCAUCUUGGGCGCCAAUUGUUAACCGAAUUGGAACCACCCCUAUACAAAAUCCAAAAUGUAAUUCACAUAAAAUAUAUAACCGAAAAUUAAUCGAUAGUUUAAUAACUAAAUUUAAUUAUAAAUUUAGAUUAUGCAUCCUUAAAAUUAAGAUUUUUUACCGUUUAAAUUACACCAUGAAAAUUUUCGAUCGACUUAGAUCGCGAAUCCUGUUGGAUCACCAUCAGGGACGACCUAUUUUUACACCAUGCGACGAGGUCGGUUGUCACGUACACUUCAAAGAAAAGCCGCAUUAUGCAUCCGACUAGCUAAGAUAGCCAUGGAGGGGUAAGGGAGGCUCGAUCUAUGUGCAUCUAAGGGUAUAUAAACCCUGCAAUUAAGACCGACACGCUUUUAUGCCGUUUUGAUUCGUGCGUGUACUUCGUGUGCAUAGUCGUGUCUUGCAGAACAAAGUCUUAGAGCGAACCUGAAAGAGCAACUUCGAUUUUGAAGUCUUGAACCACCCCUGUUCCUCACUGCUAUCUUGGUAAGUCCGUUAACACGAAUUAUUGUACUACACUUCUCUUCUGCUUUUGUUCAAGUAGCCUUAUUAUAAUACCCUGUAACCCUAUUUUAUACAUAUAAAAGUAUAAUUAUUAACACAAUAAAUAAAUCUUGAAACUAUAAUCAAUGAUAAUUAUUUAUCGUUCUGAGAAGCCUAUACAGUGUCCUUAAGCCGUAUACUAAGCGACGCGCAGAGUCAAACUAUAAAGUAGUCCUUUUGAGUUACCAUCAUAAUUCCGCGUGUUUGCAACUCAGCCAGGUUUUUCCAUCGAACCCUCUUUCACUAGGCCAAUAGAUCUCUCCUUUCUUCUGUCUCUCUUUCCCUCUCCCUUUCCUAAAGCUCACUAUCGACAUUCUUGCUUUUAAAUCCUUAAUUUUAAGAAUUAUUUUUAAGACUCUAUCUCUGGUGCGAUAGUGGGUGAGCAAGCGCUCAUCUGCCGACGGCGAGGCUCCGCCACGCCCGAAUAUCGCCGCUUCCUUUCUUUAAUUUUAAGAAUUAUUUUAAGUUUCCAUAUCCUCUUUCUGGUGCGAUAGUGUAGGUGAACAGGCGUUCAUCUGCCAAUUGCGAGGCUCUGCCACGCAUGUAUAUCGCCGCUUCCUUUUUAAUUUUAAGAAUUAUUUUAAGUUUUCAUAUUCUCUUUCUGGUGCGAUAGUGUAGGUGAACAAGCGUUCAUCUGCCAAUUGCGAGGGUCUGCCACGCAUGUAUAUCGCCGCUUCCUUUUUAAUUUUAAGAAUUAUUUUAAGUUUUCAUAUUCUAUCUCUGGUGCGAUAGUGGGUGAGCAAGCGCUCAUCUGCCGACGGCAAGGCUCAGCCGCGCCCGAAUAUCGCCGCUUCCUUUCUCGUUUUAAGAAUUAUUUUAAGUUUUCAUAUUCUCUUUCUGGUGCGAUAGUGUAGGUGAACAAGCGUUCAUCUGCCAAUUGCGAGGCUCUGCCACGCAUGUAUAUCGCCGCUUCCUUUUUAAUUUUAAGAAU
rnacentral:lncRNA from 1 species